rnacentral:rRNA from 1 species
GGUCAAGCUACAAAGGGCGCAUGGUGAAUGCCUUGGCAUCAGGAGCCGAUGAAGGACGUGAUAAGCUGCGAUAAGCUUCGGGUAGGCGCACAUAGCCAGAGAUCCGGAGAUUUCCGAAUGGGGAAACCCGCAUGAGAAACCUCAUGCAUCGUAAAGUGAAUACAUAGCUUUAUGAAGGAACACCUAGGGAACUGAAACAUCUAAGUACCUAGAGGAAGAGAAAGAAAAAUCGAUUUUCUUAGUAGCGGCGAGCGAAAAGGAAAGAGCCCAAACCAGAGAUUUAUCUCUGGGGUUGCGGACAGAACAUAACGUGAAAUUAUGAUUAACCGAACACAACUGGAAAGUUGGACCGUAGGAGGUAAUAGUCCUGUAAGUAAAAGUCAUAAUGAUCAGUUCUGCACCAGAGUACCACGAGACACGUGAAACCUUGUGGGAAGCAGGGAGGACCACCUCCCAAGGCUAAAUACUACCUGAUGACCGAUAGUGAAGCAGUACCGUGAGGGAAAGG